UACGGAGGAUGCGAGCGUUAUCCGGAUUUAUUGGGUUUAAAGGGUGCGCAGGCGGCACGGCAAGCCGGCGGUCAAAUCGCGGGGCUCAACCCCGCCCAGCCGUCGGAACUGCCGGGCUAGAGUGGGCGAGAAGUGCGCGGAAUGCGUGGUGUAGCGGUGAAAUGCAUAGAUAUCACGCAGAACACCGAUUGCGAAGGCAGCUUACCAAACUAUAUCUGACGUUGAGGCACGAAAGCGUGGGGAGCAAACAGG
rnacentral:rRNA from 1 species